rnacentral:lncRNA from 1 species
ACGAUACGGUUUAGGCGUCGUACGAUACGAAUCGUACAAAGAAUCGUUUUCGCUCCCGUAUCGCAACUGUAUCGUGCGAAUCGGAAGACGAAUCGGAGAAUCGUUUCGUUUCGUAUAAUAAAUUGGAAUUUGAAAACCCUAAUUUUAAAAUUUUACCUCGCGAACCUCUUCUCCUCUCUCCUCCGACAGCAACGACCAUCAGACUCGUGACAGUAGGAGGUGCGGCGCCAGACAACAAUAGCAACAACUUUGUGGAAUUGUGCAAUUGCUGAGGCGCACUGCUGGACGAAGGCGCUCGACUAGAUGCGCGGUGGUCGUUGGAGGUGCGUGACUGUAAGCACGGUGAAGAGAGUAGAAAACAGAGAGUGAAGCAGAAAACAGGGAGUGAUUAACUGCUGUCUUGGGAUUUUUUCUAUUAUCUUGGAUUUUUAAAAAUAAGGAAAACAAAAAGAAAGGCAAAUGUUACAUAAGUGUACAUGAUUGUUUUGAUGUUGAAGAGAGAGCUCUGAGUAAAAAAAGAAGAGAGGUAAUUAUUUUUAUUUAGAACUUCUUCAACUUACAACUGGAAAACUUUAACAAACUAAACUAAUUAAAUUUAUUUGUUUUUCUUUUGCUAAUAUAGGUUCUAGAAAUUUAAAUACCAAGAUCAAUAAAAAUGAAAAAUUCACAGAAGAUGAGGAAGACAUUGAAGAAGAACUUUUAAUAGAAGAUGAAGAUGACUUGAGUGAUGUAGAUGUUGGAGAAGAAGAUGAUGAAAUAUGAAUGACUAUGAUAAUUGCACCUUUGCAUGUUUACAUAUCUUAUAUAUUUAAUUAUAUGUUACAAUUUUAAUGUUUAUGAAUCUUACGAUUCAUGAUACGAAACGAUUCACGAUUCAGAAAAUCAACUCUCCGAUACACUACUUGU